rnacentral:lncRNA from 1 species
UUUAUGAACACUAUAACGCCUUUAUGCAGUCUAUAUUAUCAUUUUCACUUCUCAACUAUCCUACUCCUGCACGUCUGUUUUCCAUUUUUCAGUUUCUUGACUUAUUAAGCUCAUCUAUUUGUCUCACCCCAACUGAACUCUUCGCUGUCUUUGCCUAUGAGCCGCUCUAAGCUUUAGUAAUGAACUCUUAAAGACAGACGAGCUCCUUUACCAUGUUUCUAGAGACUACUUUACUCCUAUUUAAUUAGUCAAAACCGUGCAUAAAGAGAACCUGGAUAUAUGAGGGAGAGCCAUUGAGGACAAAGUGGAGAAGGUUACAUAAGUUUCCAGGUUAAUGAACAAACUGAGAGUACCUGCUCAUCUCUUAAGGGUUUUUAUUAGAGGCUUCUGGAGAAUAACUAUUUUAGAUUCUUGUAUCUGGGACUGAAUUAUACAAUUUUGGAUCCUCAUGGUUUUGAGCAAGAGCAUAUGAGCUUUAGUUUGCGAAGUAGAAGACUGGUAAUUUAGGUCUGAUAUGAAGGAAGAUUCCACUAAUCAAGCCAAGGAGCAAAAAUCAGCCACCACAAAUCAAGCCAAGAAUCAAAACCAGCAAGAUAGCCAAUAAUUAUGCCUGUAACAGUCAAUCAAUUUUCUGUAAAUGUUAUUUUUGUAUAAUCAUGAAAUUAGCCUGCUACUUUUAUAUAUGCAAAAUGUUGGCUAAUUUCCUAAAAUAGAGAUAGGAGAUUUUGUAUUUAAAUAUACGCAAGUCAUUGUAAAAUGGAGAUUGUAAAGUCUGUCAUUUUUACAGAGAAAUAAAACACUGCUCUAAUUUCCAUCAGUUGCUCUUG